CAGCAGCCGCGGGAAUACGUAGGUGGCAAGCGUUGUCCGGAAUUAUUGGGCGUAAAGGGCUCGCAGGCGGUUUCUUAAGUCUGAUGUGAAAGCCCCCGGCUCAACCGGGGAGGGUCAUUGGAAACUGGGAAACUUGAGUGCAGAAGAGGAGAGUGGAAUUCCACGUGUAGCGGUGAAAUGCGUAGAGAUGUGGAGGAACACCAGUGGCGAAGGCGACUCUCUGGUCUGUAACUGACGCUGAGGAGCGAAAGCGUGGGGAGCGAACAGGAUUAGAGACCCGUGUAGUCCCUGUCUCUUAUAC
rnacentral:rRNA from 1 species